UACGGAGGGUGCAAGCGUUGUUCGGAAUUAUUGGGCGUAAAGCGAGUGCAGGCUGUAAGGUAUGUCUGGUGUGAAAGCCCGGGGCUCAACCCCGGAAGUGCAUUGGAAACUGCCUUACUUGAAUCUUGGAGAGGGUAGCGGAAUUCCUGGUGUAGAGGUGAAAUUCGUAGAUAUCAGGAGGAACACCGGUGGCGAAGGCG
rnacentral:rRNA from 1 species